CAGCAGUGGGGAAUNUUGGGCAAUGGGGGCAACCCUGAUCCAGCAAAAUAGUUAGAGUGAAAGGGUGAGAUAUCAUAAAGCUCUAAAGAGAAGGUAGAUGGUGACCGGACUUCUCUAUCAAUCCUGACUCAUUUCGUGCCAGCAGUCGCGGUAAUACGAAAGGGAUAAGCGUAAUUCAUCUGGAAUAGGUGUUAAGGGUAUGUUGGCGGUCUCAUCAGAUGAAACUUCAAAGGAUUAACAAUCUAAUCGGAGUUUCCUAACCCCCCCCCUAGAUGAUGACUAGAGUGUCAUAGAGGAAAGAGCAAUUAGAAAAUUAGCGAUAAAAUGCAUAGAAUUUUCUAGGAACCCCCGAGGCGAAGGCUUCUUUCUAACUAAACACUGACGCUCAGAUACGAAAGUGUGGGUAGCGAAAAGGAUUANAUACCCCAUUAGUCCACA
rnacentral:rRNA from 1 species